ACACUGUCCCUGUCAGGGGAGAUACCGUGAUCAGCAGGUCUUCCUAGGGUGAGGCCUGCCUAUUGGCACUUUGACCCCUUUGAGUUUCCCAAGUGUAGGAAACUUGACCGCACAAUUUUGUGGUAACAGGGGACCAUAUUUGUGCUUCCCCCUC
rnacentral:snRNA from 14 species